rnacentral:rRNA from 1 species
AUACCCGCUGAACUUAAGCAACAAUCGGGGGGAGGAAUG